GAUGAACGCUGGCGGCGUGCCUAAUACAUGCAAGUCGAGCGAACAGACGAGGAGCUUGCUCCUCUGACGUUAGCGGCGGACGGGUGAGUAACACGUGGAUAACCUACCUAUAAGACUGGGAUAACUUCGGGAAACCGGAGCUAAUACCGGAUAAUAUAUUGAACCGCAUGGUUCAAUAGUGAAAGACGGUUUUGCUGUCACUUAUAGAUGGAUCCGCGCCGCAUUAGCUAGUUGGUAAGGUAACGGCUUACCAAGGCGACGAUGCGUAGCCGACCUGAGAGGGUGGUCGGCCACACUGGAACUGAGACACGGUCCAGACUCCUACGGGAGGCAGCAGUAGGGAAUCUUCCGCAAUGGGCGAGAGCCUGACGGAGCAACGCCGCGUGAGUGAUGAAGGUCUUCGGAUCGUAAAACUCUGUUAUUAGGGAAGAACAAAUGUGUAAGUAACUAUGCACGUCUUGACGGUACCUAAUCAGAAAGCCACGGCUAACUACGUG
rnacentral:rRNA from 1 species